AUUGAACGCUGGCGGCAGGCCUAACACAUGCAAGUCGAACGGCAGCACAGAAGAGCUUGCUCUUUGGGUGGCGAGUGGCGGACGGGUGAGUAAUGUCUGGGAAACUGCCCGAUGGAGGGGGAUAACUACUGGAAACGGUAGCUAAUACCGCAUAACGUCGCGAGACCAAAGUGGGGGACCUUCGGGCCUCACACCAUCGGAUGUGCCCAGAUGGGAUUAGCUAGUAGGUGGGGUAAUGGCUCACCUAGGCGACGAUCCCUAGCUGGUCUGAGAGGAUGACCAGCCACACUGGAACUGAGACACGGCCCAGACUCCUACGGGAGGCAGCAGUGGGGAAUCUUGGACAAUGGGGGCAACCCUGAUCCAGCGAUACCGCGUGUGUGAAGAAGGCCUUCGGGUUGUAAAGCACUUUAGGUGGGGAAGAAAAGCAUAUUGUGAAUAACAGUAUGUGCUGACGGUACCCACAGAAUAAGCACCGGCUAACUCUGUGCCAGCAGCCGCAGUAA
rnacentral:rRNA from 1 species